rnacentral:rRNA from 1 species
UAUUGCACAAUGGGGGAAACCCUGAUGCAGCCAUGCCGCGUGUGUGAAGAAGGCCUUCGGGUUGUAAAGCACUUCCAGCGAGGAGGAAAGGUUGGCGCCUAAUACGUGUCAACUGUGACGUUACUCGCAGAAGAAGCACCGGCUAACUCCGUGCCAGCAGCCGCGGUAAUACGGAGGGUGCAAGCGUUAAUCGGAAUUACUGGGCGUAAAGCGCACGCAGGCGGUUGGAUAAGUUAGAUGUGAAAGCCCCGGGCUCAACCUGGGAAUUGCAUUUAAAACUGUCCAGCUAGAGUCUUAUAGAGGGGGGUAGAAUUCCAGGUGUAGCGGUGAAAUGCGUAGAGAUCUGGAGGAAUACCGGUGGCGAAGGCGGCCCCCUGGACAAAGACUGACGCUCAGUCGAA